rnacentral:rRNA from 1 species
GGGGUANUNGGNCAAUGGGCGCAAGCCCUGAUCCAGCCAUGCCGCGUGUUGUGAAGAAGGCCUUCGGGUUGUAAAGCACUUUUGUUGGGGAAGAAACCGACCGGUUUAAUACUUCGGUUGAAUGACGGUACCCAAAGAAUAAGCACCGGCUAACUUCGUGCCAGCAGCCGCGGUAAUACGAAGGGUGCAAGCGUUACUCGGAAUUACUGGGCGUAAAGCGUGCGUAGGCGGUUAGUUAAGUCUGUCGUGAAAGCCCCGGGCUCAACCUGGGAAUGGCGAUGGAAACUGGCUAGCUAGAGUGUGUCAGAGGAUGGUGGAAUUCCCGGUGUAGCNGGUGAAAUGCGUAGAGAUCGGGAGGAACACCAGUGGCGAAGGCGGCCAUCUGGGACAACACUGACGCUGAGGCACGAAAGCGUGGGGAGCAAACAGGAUUAGAUACCCUGGUAGUCC